AAUAGAUGACGCCGUUGACUUUUUCUCACAUGUUUGACCAUUCGUCGUUUUCGUUGUGUUUAUGUGAUUAUUAUUAUUGUUGUUAUGAAUUGUUUUGUAUCACUCAUAGUACUUUAAGCGUGAUUUAUAAUCUUAUACAUUUGCAUAAAAUUUUUGAAUAGGACGAAUGGUCAAACAUGUGAGAAAAAGUCAACGGCAUCAUCUAUU
rnacentral:pre_miRNA from 1 species